UGGUCAAGUUAUUAAGGGUGCAGGGCGGAUGCCUUGGCACUAGGAGCCGAUGAAGGACGUGAUAAGCUGCGAUAAGCUUCGGGGAGUUGCACGUAAACUUUAAUCCGAAGAUUUCCGAAUGAGGAAACUCACUUAGAGUAAUGUCUAAGUAUCAUUAAGUGAAUACAUAGCUUAAUGAGGGGAACUCAGGGAACUGAAACAUCUAAGUACCUGAAGGAAGAGAAAGAAAUUCGAUUCCGUAAGUAGCGGCGAGCGAACGCGGAUUAGCCCAAACCAAUAAAGUUUUCUUUAUUGGGGUUGCGGACAUAUCAUAACGAAGAGGUAUCGUAAUUGAAGAGGUUUGGAAAGACCCACCACAGAAGGUAAUAGUCCUGUAUGUUAAACGAGAAGACUUUAGAUAUGAUCCAGAGUACCACGGGACACGUGAAACCCUGUGGGAAGCAGGAGGGACCACCCUCCAAGGCUAAAUACUACCUAGUGACCGAUAGCGUAUAGUACCGUGAGGGAAAGGUGAAAAGAACCCCGGGAGGGGAGUGAAAUAGAACCUGAAACCCUGCACUUACAAGCUGUGGAAGCACAUUUCUUGUGUGACCGCGUACUUUUUGUAGAACGGGCCAACGAGUUACGUUAAGUAGCAAGGUUAAGCACUUAAGGUGUGGAGCCGUAGCGAAAGCGAGUUUUAACUGAGCGUUCAGUUACUUGACGUAGACCCGAAACCGGGCGACCUACCCAUGAGCAGGAUGAAGCGAAAGUAAAAUUUCGUGGAGGUCCGAACCCACGAGCGUUGAAAAGCUCGGGGAUGACUUGUGGGUAGCGGUGAAAUUCCAAUCGAGCCCGGAGAUAGCUGGUUCUCCCCGAAAUAGCUUUAGGGCUAGCCUCAAGGUGAGAGAUACGGAGGUAGAGCACUGAAUGUCCUAGGGGGUAUUGCACCUACCGAAGACUAUCAAACUCCGAAUGCCGUCAUCUUAUACUUGGGAGUCAGACUGUGGGUGAUAAGAUUCAUAGUCGAAAGGGCAACAGCCCAGAUCGUCAGCUAAGGUCCCUAAAUGUAAGUUAAGUGGUAAAGGAUGUGGGAUUGCACAGACAACCAGGAUGUUGGCUUAGAAGCAGCCACUCAUUCAAAGAGUGCGUAAUAGCUCACUGGUCGAGUGAUCCUGCGCCGAAGAUUUCCGGGGCUAAAACUUACUACCGAAGCUACGGCAUCAGUAAUGAUGGGUAGGGGAGCUUCCCAUACGGGUUGAAGCAUGACCGUAAGGACAUGUGGACAGUAUGGGAGUGAGAAUGUUGGCAUGAGUAGCGAGAUGUGGGUGAGAAUCCCACAGGCCGUAAACCCAAGGUUUCCAGGGGAAGGUUCGUCCGCCCUGGGUUAGUCGGGACCUAAGCUGAGGCCGAAAGGCGUAGGUGAUGGACAACAGGUUGAUAUUCCUGUACUACUGAUAACCGUUUGAGAGAAGGGAUGACACAGUAGGAUAAGCUAAGCACACUGUUGGUUAUGUGUGCCCAAGCAUUGAGGCAGUCAAAGUAGGCAAAUCCGCUUUGAUAAUGCUGGGAUGUGAUGGGGAGCGAAAUUUAGUAGCGAAGUAGCUGAUUUCACACUGUCAAGAAAAGUCUCUAUCGAGGUUAAAGGUACCCGUACCGCAAACCGACACAGGUGGGUGAGGAGAGUAUCCUAAGGCCAGCGAGAGAACUGUUGUUAAGGAACUCGGCAAAAUGACCCCGUAACUUAGGGAUAAGGGGUGCCACCAUCAGGUGGCCGCAGAGAAUAGGCCCAAGCGACUGUUUACCAAAAACAUAGGUUUCUGCUAAGUCGCAAGACGAUGUAUAGGAGCUGACGCCUGCCCGGUGCUGGAAGGUUAAGGGGAUCUGUUAGAGCAAUCGAAGCAGUGAACUUAAGCCCCAGUAAACGGCGGCCGUAACUAUAACGGUCCUAAGGUAGCGAAAUUCCUUGUCGGGUAAGUUCCGACCCGCACGAAAGGCGUAACGAUUUGGGCACUGUCUCAACAACAGACUCGGUGAAAUUGUAAUUCCGGUGAAGAUGCCGGAUACCUGCGACAGGACGGAAAGACCCCAUGGAGCUUUACUGUAGCUUGACAUUGGGUCUUGGUACUACAUGUACAGGAUAGGUGGGAGGCUUUGAAACCAGGACGCCAGUUUUGGCGGAGCCAUCCUUGGGAUACCACCCUUGUAGUACUGGGACUCUAACCAUAGGCCAUGAAUCUGGUCUUGGGACACUGUCAGGUGGGCAGUUUGACUGGGGCGGUCGCCUCCCAAAAGGUAACGGAGGCGCUCAAAGGUUCUCUCAGUACGGUCGGAAAUCGUACGUAGAGUGUAAAGGCAAAAGAGAGCUUGAUUGCAAGACAUACAGGUCGAGCAAGGAUGAAAAUCGGACUUAGUGAUCCGGUGGUUCUGCGUGGAAGGGCCAUCGCUCAACGGAUAAAAGCUACCCUGGGGAUAACAGGCUUAUCUCCCCCAAGAGUCCACAUCGACGGGGAGGUUUGGCACCUCGAUGUCGGCUCAUCACAUCCUGGGGCUGUAGUAGGUCCCAAGGGUUGGGCUGUUCGCCCAUUAAAGUGGUACGCGAGCUGGGUUCAGAACGUCGUGAGACAGUUCGGUCCCUAUCCGUCGCAGGCGUAGGAAAUUUGAGAAGACCUGUCCUUAGUACGAGAGGACCGGGAUGGACGUACCUCUGGUGUACCAGUUGUUCUGCCAAGGGCAUGGCUGGGUAGCUAUGUACGGAAUGGAUAAGCGCUGAAAGCAUCUAAGCGCGAAGCCAACUUCAAGAUAAGAUUUCCCACCGCAAGGGUAAGACCCCAGAAAGACUAUCUGGUUGAUAGGUCGAAGGUGUAAGUGCAGCAAUGUAUUUAGCUUAUCGAUACUAAUAGGUCGAGGACUUGACCAAUAUUUAUU
rnacentral:rRNA from 1 species